AUGCAAGUCGAGCGGAGUUUUGAAAAGCUUGCUUUUCAAAACUUAGCGGCGGACGGGUGAGUAACACGUGGGCAACCUGCCCUUGAGACGGGGAUAACUCCGGGAAACCGGAGCUAAUACCGGAUAACACAUAUCUUCGCAUGAGGAUAUGUUAGAAGGUGGCUUUUAGCUACCACUCAAGGAUGGGCCCGCGGCGCAUUAGCUAGUUGGUGAGGUAACGGCUCACCAAGGCGACGAUGCGUAGCCGACCUGAGAGGGUGAUCGGCCACACUGGGACUGAGACACGGCCCAGACUCCUACGGGAGGCAGCAGUAGGGAAUCUUCCGCAAUGGACGAAAGUCUGACGGAGCAACGCCGCGUGAGUGAUGAAGGUUUUCGGAUCGUAAAGCUCUGUUGUUAGGGAAGAACAAGUACUUUUUCAAUAAC
rnacentral:rRNA from 1 species